GUUCGGUGCAGAUCGUUCAUAGUAGAAGUUCGGUGCAGACCACUCGUAAUAGAAGUUCAGCUCUCACAGGAGUCUGAUUAGAAUCCUGAAGGUGGUCGACCACCGUAGAAACUCGGAUGGAGUCUGAUUACUAUAGAAACCUCAUUGUUGAAGAAGCUCGAAUAUUGACGAAGUCCGAAAGGAGUUCGGAGAAUAGUUGAUCACCGUAGAAUGUCGGCUGAC
rnacentral:lncRNA from 1 species